UACGAAGGGGGCGAGCGUUGUUCGGAUUUACUGGGCGUAAAGGGCGCGUAGGCGGCGCCGCAAGUCGCGUGUGAAAACUCCAGGCUCAACCUGGAGACGCCACCCGGGACUGCUAUGGCUAGAGUCCGGUAGGGGAUCACGGAAUUCCUGGUGUAGCGGUGAAAUGCGCAGAUAUCAGGAGGAACACCGGUGGCGAAGGCGGUGAUCUGGGCCGGCACUGACGCUGAGGAGCGAAAGCGUGGGUAGCAAACAGG
rnacentral:rRNA from 1 species